AUGGUAGACGUCCUAAGAUGGAUUGAACAGAUGAUAAGGAAGCUUCUCGAUCGGAUCCACAUUCCGUUUUCUUGACAUCUAUCCCACGUCUUCCUCCAUGAAAAAAUUGAGUCACUCUUAUUGAUCUCACUCUCAGAAAUUCAUGUGAUGUGGACAUAAGAUUAGUGUCAGAGACUCAAGGGUUUGGAAAUGGAUUGUGUUAGGU
rnacentral:lncRNA from 1 species